AAACAAACACGCAUGCGCGGCAGAGGGCGGGCUGGUGCGCAUGUGCCGCAGGGACAUGCGCUGAGUUUGCCGCUGCGGCAGCAAGUCUUGCGCAGAUUGGAGCCGCGGAGGGAGAUGCCCGACGCCUCGGCCUGAGGAGCAGGCAGUGACGCGAUGGAGCGAGCAAGGGAUCGCUUACAUUUGAGACGGACUACAGAACAGCACGUGCCAGAGGUAGAAGUCCAAGUCAAACGCAGAAGGACAGCCUCACUGAGCAACCAAGAGUGUCAGUUGUAUCCAAGGCGUUCUCAGCAACAGCAAGUACCUGUGCUGGAUUUCCAAGCGGAACUGAGACAGGCAUUCUUAGCUGAGACACCAAGAGGUGGUUAAAGGAGUAUUGGAACAACAAGGAAGCUGACUCUGAGCAAAAAUCAGGCUCUAUCUACUGUUUGAAGCUUCUGUCCAGCUUGCAUUAUUUCUAGGAGAACCUGCAUCAUACCUUUAUCUGUAGCCUUCCCCUAGGUCUUAACAAACACGAAAUUUUAACAGUGGACGUUGGAUUUGGUGGAACAGCAAUCAUGACUGUGGGCAAGAGUAGCAAGAUGUUGCAGCACAUUGACUAUA